rnacentral:tRNA from 1 species
GGYUGUAAAAAUCCUUAUUUACC